rnacentral:lncRNA from 1 species
ACAUUUUAGCUUGCUUGUUGCUGGGGAAAAGACUUGCUGCUUUGUGUUUCAUUUGAUGAAGCUUCCAUAAGUCAGGAUUCCAGUCACAGCUUAGCUGGAUCCUCUCAGAAGGCUACGAUCAAGGUGUCAGCCAGACUGAGUUCUCAUCAGAGGCUCGACUAGGAGAGGAUCUGCUUCCAAGUUCCCUCAGGUUGUUGGAAGGAUUCAUUUUCUUGUGGCUAAGCUCACAGGAGCUUUCUUCUUCAAGGGCAUCAGGAGAGUGGAGAGCGAGUCUACUCAAAGACUUCUAUACAAAUCAUAAGACAUCAAGUACUCUUCAACUGCCUAUUGGGAGACAAUUUCCACAGCUCUCUCAUGUUUCUGCACAACUUGUAAGCAAGACAAGACUCUCUUAUCUUCUGGACUCUAUUUUCAAGAAUACUCAUAUAGUGAACAGUGUCUUCUUCCUGAGCGAAGGGCAUAAAUGCUACUUUCCAUUUUAAAAGAUUCAAGUUCCCUAAGCUCGGAAUUCUUCUGUAAUGCAACCCAUUGUGUGUGCAGGUAUCACCUGGCAUUCUUCCCAUUACCCUGUGGGAAUUGGAGCUCAGGGAACCUUCAUAGAAAUUCUGAUAGUCUAGCUACUGCUAUUUCUAUGAGUAAUAAAUUGUUUCUGACCUAGAAGUCUUGUGUCUUCUGCUGGCACCCAUGAAAUUAUGAGGCUAAAUUGUUAGAUUACAAGUGAGGUAAAAUCUUGGACGCUUCCCAGUUCUUGACACUGACUAAAAUACAUGCAUAUUCGUUUUAUCAAGUCAGUUUGAAAAAAAAUCUAUGAAUUAAAAUAAUUACAAAAUUCUAAGGACUGAAUUUGUAAUAUAUUGGAUGAACAAAACCCUCUACCUUGGUUCUGAAAUUCUUGAUAGUUGAGAUAUGUGUAACAUUUGUAAUUUGAAAUACACAAGUAAUUCUCUAUUUAAAAGGUCAUAUAUCCAAAGUAUUGAAAAAUCUAGAAUACAUUAAACUUUAGCUAUCCAUGGUGAAAGGCAGUGGCAAAACAGCUGCAGAAAAGCUGAAACUAGAUUCAAUUAAAUCUUUGUGCCAAAACCAAGUGCACAAAAAUCUCCCAAAGCUGUUAAAACUAUACAGCUUAUUUGCUAUAAAUUUUAUAAAUGGUUAAAUAAAACAAGUUUUGAAGUAAUUUGGUAAAUUGACAAAUUUUUCACUCAUUGAUUUGUUGUAGCUAAUGAGGGAUGGUGGGGAGUGGAGAAGGGUUCAGAGAACUUGGGAAGGAUAUAAAAAUGGAGGUAUGUGGGGCAAAUGCCCCCAACUACAUGUUUUAAUCAAGAACACCAGCCUAUGAUCAAGGGAAUUUUCAUAUACAGAUGAGAGCUAGUCUCACUUGAUCUUUCUGCAUUAAAACUGUUACAAAGCAACUUCUUUAUCAAAUGAAUACAAUCACAUUUAGUAGAGGCUCUAGUUAAGACCUGAGGCUAUACUGACCUGGGUUAGAGACCUGGCUUUUACAUUUUUACCUAAUCUCUCUAAGCCUUAAUUUCUCAGUUUUAAAAGUGCAGGUAAUCAUAGCAUGUGUUUCCCAAGGAUGUUGUAAAGAUUAGUGUCAGGAUGGCUGAGUGGUGUAAGGCACCAGACCCAAGGAUGUUGUAAGGAUUAAUUGAAAUAUCCACUUGAAUUGCUUAGCAUGAUACCUGCUAUGUAGAAAGUGCUUGAUAGCCUUAACAAUAUAUAUCAUUAAGAAAUUUCCUUGGAAUGGGAAUUUCAAACCACUUUAUCAAAUAUACUUACUUCCUCACUUACUUUUGUGGUUUGGUAGCUUUUUCUUUACACAUUUAGGAGGUGGGGAAGCACAGAGAUAUAGCACUUUCUUUUUUUUUUCUUUGAGACAGAGUCUCGCCCUGUCACCCAGGCUGGAGUGCAGUGGCGCCAUCUUGGCUCACUGCAACCUCCGCCUCCCAGGUUCAAGCUAUUCUCCUGCUUCAGCUUCCUGAGUAGCUGGGACUACAGGUGCACGCCACCAAGCCCGGCUAAUUUUUGUAUUUUUAGUAGAGAAGGGGUUUCACCAUGUUGGCCAGGAUGGUCUCGAUCUCCUGACCUCGUGAUCCACCCGCCUUGGCCUCCCAAAGUGCUAGGAUAACCGGUGUAAGCCACCGCACCUGGCCAGAUAUAGCACUUUCUAAAAGGUCUAUAAAUCUUUCUAAAGAUUAAUAUUGAGUGGGAUCAAUGUGUUUUAGGGAAUCCAGAUACUGCACACCACUUUGCAAAUGUUUAGAUUUUAGCAGAACAACAAAUGGACUUUGCAAAGACUGUCUUUUAAUUAUUAAACCUCUAUUUAUUAAAAAGAAAUUAGGCCAGGCACAGUGGCUCACGCCUGUAAUCCCAGAACUUUGGGAGGCCGAGGUGGGUGGAUCACCUGAGGUCAGGAGUUCAAGACCAGCCUGGCCAACAUGGUGAGACCACAUCUCUACUACAAAUACAAAAAUUAGUCGGGCAUGGUGGCAGGCACCUGCAAUCUCAGCUACUUGGGAGGCUGAAUGAAUUUACAGGUAGGAAGGCACACAUUAUAUAAGUUAAAAUUCAGUUCAACUAUGAGUGACAGAAAACCCUAAUGAGUGGUAGCUUAAACAUACAAUGUUUACUCCCUCAAACAAAAUGUCUGCCUGAUAUGUAGCUGAUGUGAGGCUCCAUGGUGUCAGGGUCCCAGGUUUCUUUUAUCUAUGGCUUUGCCAUCUUUAUCACAUGAACCAUAAUGACUGCUUGAGUUUCUUAUGGUCUAAAAUGGUUUCUUGAGUUUCCUAUCCCCAUCCAGUCAGGAAGAAAAAAAAAAAAAAAAAAAAGGAAUGACUGAUGAAGCGCUUGCUUUUAUUUUAAGAACACUUCCUGCAAGUUGCACAUACCAAUUCUGUUUGCAUUCUUUUGGCCACAACUUACCUACUUGGCCAUGCCUAGCUUCAAGAGAAGAGAAAUGUAGUCAUUAUUUUGAGUAGUUAUAUGUCCAGAUGGAAAUCAGGGGAGCUAUCACACACACACACACACACACACACACACACACACACACACACACACACACAAAGCACAAAACAGAUACUGGGGACAACUCAUCUUCUUUGCCUCAUACACUGAAAUUAAGCCAGAUUGGUCUUGUUUUUGAAAGAAAGUAACACUGUUAGUAAGAGAGACUUUGGUAUUGUCUAAUCAAACUUCUCUCUUUUUGUGGAUGAGACUCAUGUUGUCUGAGUUCAAGUUCAGAUAUCAUCCAUUCCUUGAGCUUGUAUGUGUGAUACUACACACUACAACCUAGCACAGAGAGGAUGAGAAGACAAGAAAUGAGAACUUAGGUGUUACUUAGUAUUUAUUUAUAAUAGUAGUUUUAAAAAUGCUGUCUUGACACAGUUUUGAGGCCCUGGAAAUAACAUUUUAAAGUAAAAACGUUAAAGUUUAAAGAAGAGCUUUGCCACUUAAACGGGGGAGUUUGUCUGGAAAAUAUAUUGAGUUGAAACACUUCAUCCUUGGAAGGAUUAUAUACGAUGAACAAUUGCAUAUAAAUGUGUGUUUUAGAGAGAUGUGAACGGGCAGUUAGUCCAGUGCCCUCAUUUAAGAGGCCAAAAUCCUGACUCAGAGGAGGUGUCCUUUGCCCAGAGCUUCUUAGCUAAUCUGACCAAAUGUUGGGAAAUAUAUCUUACCUAACCUACUAUUCCUUAAUUAUGGAUUUUGUGGAAAACAAUAAAACAUGUUAAUGAGUAAUUUAUAUUAGUUCAAUUUAUUACAAUUUUUUAGCUUUAAAUUACAGUUUUCUUAUAAUGAUGAAAUGUUUUAGAAUCCUUUGAAUCUAAGUAUUUACUUAUUUCCUAAAUAAAACAUUAGUACAACAUUUGAUGUUUUACUUAUGAAAUAUCCUCCUCUCCCAAGAUAAUUAAAACUUUUUCUUUCUAUUUAAAAGCUAAGAAAUGAUGUUUUAAAGGAAAAAUGAAAUUAUUUUCUUUUAGCUUCUUUUAAGGUAAAACAGCUUUUUUACUCUGUUAUUGUGGUAAUGGACAGAAAAUUGCAUACCAAAAUAUUCUGGGAGAGCAUUCUCCUAGUUGGUUUUAAAUCAUUGUGCUACCUGAAAGGUUUUUUGAUUUUGUAGGAGCUAUUUUGUCCACCAGCAUUAAUGUGACACUAGUUAUGAAAAUAUAUUGAAGGACAAGAAGUGGACACAAAGUGAUUUUUGUAACCUGGGCAGUUAAUGAAUGUGCCAACGUUUUCGAGGAAGGGACAGCAAGAAUAUUCUGCCCUGUAGUUAAAAUACUGGCUGGCUUUUAAUGUCUUCAUGCUUAAUCGUGAUCACUUUCUUGCACUGUGAUGUUUUUACGUGAACAUGUUAAAAUGGAAGUCUACCAUAUUACUUUAUAAAAUGUUUUCUGUAUGCCAGUAAACUGAAAAUAUGGAUCAACAACAACAACAAAAUGCGUCUUGACACAGUUUUGAGGCCCUAUGUAGGGGUUAGUCAAUUUUCACUGAGCAAUCGGUUAAGCCCAUAUCCCCAACCACCUCCCUUAUGAGACUCUCACCCUCCUGGCCACCAUACACUUUUCCUAAUUACUCUAAGGGCAGGUAUCAGAUAACCAGAGGCAGCUCCUAUACCCUGGAGCCCACUGAAAGUGCUCAAAUUAGUCAAUCCUAAGCCUGCGUAUCCUGCCUCAUCCAUUCCUUCCUGCAGAAACCACAAUAAAGACACUUGUCUUCCCUCUUCCUUUGCCUCACGACCAACCUUGGUGCUUCCCCUGAGUGGCCCUGUGUGGCAUAUUGUGUUCUUCCCAGAGAACUGUCAGUAUAAGAAACUGUAAAACUCUUUCUGGUUUCUGUCUGUUGAUCUGCAUCUGGCCUCACCAGGU